rnacentral:lncRNA from 10 species
UUUCCAAAGUAAUAUAGUAACAUGGAUUAGUAUCUGUCCAGGUUACCAAAGCAUUAAAAAGCCACCAUUCUUUCUGCCAAUAGGUAAAGUAAACAUUGCUGUUGUUCCAUUCCUGCCUAACGAUCCCAGCAAACACAAGGCUUCCUGGAGACAGAGCAGUGUGGCAGCUACAGUCAACAAUCGGGGGAGAGAAAACCCAGAUCUGGCCAAAGGGGACAGACAUUCCCCACUGGCACAUCGUGGGAGCUGCUACUGGAGUCACCAGGUUCACGGAACAGCUCCAACAGCACCCUGUGCUCAGCCACAUGGCACCUCUCCUGGGUUCUGCCCAUUCUGCGCGGCCUCUGCUCUGCUCAAAUGGCUACUUACCUUGAAGAGCUUCCCCUCUAGGCUCUACCUGAACCUCACUCUCUUCGGGAAUCAGAAGAUAAAUCAUUUCCACACAAUAUCCGAAAAGGAUGUCACUCUUUCUACUAUGUAUUGUGGAUUCUAAGACACACACGGUUUUUCACACUUGGACAUCUCUGAAGCUGGGGAUGUAUCUUAUAAUCCA